rnacentral:rRNA from 1 species
CCGGGCGACGGUUGUCCCGGUUUAAGCGUGUAGGCUGGUUUUCCAGGCAAAUCCGGAAAAUCAAGGCUGAGGCGUGAUGACGAGGCACUACGGUGCUGAAGCAACAAAUGCCCUGCUUCCAGGAAAAGCCUCUAAGCAUCAGGUAACAUCAAAUCGUACCCCAAACCGACACAGGUGGUCAGGUAGAGAAUACCAAGGCGCUUGAGAGAACUCGGGUGAAGGAACUAGGCAAAAUGGUGCCGUAACUUCGGGAGAAGGCACGCUGAUAUGUAGGUGAAGUGGUUCACUGAUGGAGCUGAAAUCAGUCGAAGAUACCAGCUGGCUGCAACUGUUUAUUAAAAACACAGCACUGUGCAAACACGAAAGUGGACGUAUACGGUGUGACGCCUGCCCGGUGCCGGAAGGUUAAUUGAUGGGGUUAGCGGUAACGCGAAGCUCUUGAUCGAAGCCCCGGUAAACGGCGGCCGUAACUAUAACGGUCCUAAGGUAGCGAAAUUCCUUGUCGGGUAAGUUCCGACCUGCACGAAUGGCGUAAUGAUGGCCAGGCUGUCUCCACCCGAGACUCAGUGAAAUUGAACUCGCUGUGAAGAUGCAGUGUACCCGCGGCAAGACGGAAAGACCCCGUGAACCUUUACUAUAGCUUGACACUGAACAUUGAGCCUUGAUGUGUAGGAUAGGUGGGAGGCUUUGAAGUGUGGACGCCAGUCUGCAUGGAGCCGACCUUGAAAUACCACCCUUUAAUGUUUGAUGUUCUAACGUUGGCCCGUUAUCCGGGUUGCGGACAGUGUCUGGUGGGUAGUUUGACUGGGGCGGUCUCCUCCUAAAGAGUAACGGAGGAGCACGAAGGUUGGCUAAUCCUGGUCGGACAUCAGGAGGUUAGUGCAAUGGCAUAAGCCAGCUUGACUGCGAGCGUGACGGCGCGAGCAGGUGCGAAAGCAGGUCAUAGUGAUCCGGUGGUUCUGAAUGGAAGGGCCAUCGCUCAACGGAUAAAAGGUACUCCGGGGAUAACAGGCUGAUACCGCCCAAGAGUUCAUAUCGACGGCGGUGUUUGGCACCUCGAUGUCGGCUCAUCACAUCCUGGGGCUGAAGUAGGUCCCAAGGGUAUGGCUGUUCGCCAUUUAAAGUGGUACGCGAGCUGGGUUUAGAACGUCGUGAGACAGUUCGGUCCCUAUCUGCCGUGGGCGCUGGAGAACUGAGGGGGGCUGCUCCUAGUACGAGAGGACCGGAGUGGACGCAUCACUGGUGUUCGGGUUGUCAUGCCAAUGGCACUGCCCGGUAGCUAAAUGCGGAAGAGAUAAGUGCUGAAAGCAUCUAAGCACGAAACUUGCCCCGAGAUGAGUUCUCCCUGACUCCCUGAGAGUCCUGAAGGAACGUUGAAGACGACGACGUUGAUAGGCCGGGUGUGUAAGCGCAGCGAUGCGUUGAGCUAACCGGUACUAAUGAACCGUGAGGCUUAACCUU